AUGUGUCUUUUCCAUUAUGUUAGUAAUAUAAAACAUGUCUGGCCAAAUGGGAGAAGUGAUUUUUCCCUUAUUCGAACCAGACUUUUCUCCUCCUUUCUCUCUCUCUUUCUUUCUUCUUUCUUCUUCUCUCUUCUUGGCUGUUAUCAGACUAACAGAACUCAAAGGCAGUUCGAAUUAUAAUACUAUGCUUCUUUGUCUAUAACCCUUCUGGAUGACGUGUCCUACUAAAGGCAUUUUAUACAAUAUAUUUAAGGUUUAGGGGUUUAGGAAUUAGGCUUUAGGGUUUAAGGGUUUAGACUUUAGAUUACAGAGUUUAAGGUUUAGGGCUUAAGGGUUUAGAGUUUAGAUUGUAGGGUGUAGGUUUCAAGGUUUAAAUCUGAAAAUGAAGAGGUAGUGGGAUGCAUGUCCUCAAAAGGGGUAGGGGCCAAGUAUUGCCCUGCUUCUUUUAUCAUUUCAUAAAACACCAUUCUAUAUUUUUGCAUAUUUUACAAUGUUUACACCAUGGCUAUAAUUUUUACAAUAUUUCCAUAUGAUAUUUCUGACAUUUCCAACAUGUUUCCUAUUUAUGGAUGACUGACAUUUCCACCAACACCAGCAUUUUAAACAUUUCUAACCCAACCCAAUUAAAACAAUUUGGACAGUCCAAAGUAUUGGAUUGGAUUGAACCAGUCCAGAUUUAAUGGUCCAGUAUAUUUAGUAGACUGAAUUGGACAUAUCCAUUGAGUCCAAAAGUCCAAUCUAAAUCUGAAAUCAAUGGUUUCUCAAAAAAUCCUAAACCAGAGGCACUGAGGCAGAGCAAGUUAGGGUUUACUUCGAAUGGAGAAACCAGAGAUCAAAGCAACAAGGCGAGUGGUAGAAGGUUUCUCUCUCUCUCUCUUUCACACACACACAUACAUUCAUAUAUUAACCAGGUUUUCAUUAUCUUUUCCACAGAAGUUUGAAUUGAUCACUUGAACCUAUCUCAUUGGAGUUCGACAAGAUCUCGGGCUGAAGCUGCAAGAAAUAAAAUCCAUGUUGAUGUUAGUAUGCUCUUUGAACUACUACCUUGGAAUACUGAUGGAAAAAACAGUAAUUACAGCUUGUGUUCAUGCCAAUAGAUUUUGGGAAGGUCUUGUUCCUGAAAAUGCAUUUAAUACAAGUGUUCUGGAAGCUCUCCUUAGAGCAGGGUGCUCUUGGUUUGAAGGUAGCUGAAUUAGGGGUUACUGUUGUGAUAAUGUUGAUUCAUGAUUGAGCUGUUGUUCUCCAUGAAUUUUUCAGAAUUGCAAAGAAGAUUCAUGGACUAUUGUUGUCAUAAUGUUGCUCUUGGUUUGGUAUUUGAUGUUUAUCAUAACCUAUUAGCAUGUGAAACCUUGUCCAUAGACUUGGCUGAGCAUAGAGCAUUGUAUAUUAAGCAAUUCUUUGGUUGCAUUGUUUCUGUAUAGCCGCCAUUAACACAUGGAGCUUAUAUUAGUGCUGCAAUCUAUUUAAUUCUUUAAGCC